rnacentral:rRNA from 1 species
GACGAACGCUGGCGGCGUGCUUAACACAUGCAAGUCGAACGGAAAGGCCCUGCUUUUGUGGGGUGCUCGAGUGGCGAACGGGUGAGUAACACGUGAGUAACCUGCCCUUGACUUUGGGAUAACUUCAGGAAACUGGGGCUAAUACCGGAUAGGAGCUCCUGCUGCAUGGUGGGGGUUGGAAAGUUUCGGCGGUUGGGGAUGGACUCGCGGCUUAUCAGCUUGUUGGUGGGGUAGUGGCUUACCAAGGCUUUGACGGGUAGCCGGCCUGAGAGGGUGACCGGCAACAUUGGGACUGAGAUAAGGCACAGACUCCUACGGGAGGCAGCAGUGGGGAAUAUUGCACAAUGGGCGGAAGCCUGAUGCAGCAACGCCGCGUGCGGGAUGACGGCCUUCGGGUUGUAAACCGCUUUCGCCUGUGACGAAGCGUGAGUGACGGUAAUGGGUAAAGAAGCACCGGCUAACUACGUG